rnacentral:rRNA from 1 species
GAUGAACGCUGGCGGCGUGCUUAACACAUGCAAGUCGAACGGAAAGGCCCAAGCUUGCUUGGGUACUCGAGUGGCGAACGGGUGAGUAACACGUGGGUGAUCUGCCCUGCACUUCGGGAUAAGCCUGGGAAACUGGGUCUAAUACCGGAUAGGACGAUGGUUUGGAUGCCAUUGUGGAAAGUUUUUUCGGUGUGGGAUGAGCUCGCGGCCUAUCAGCUUGUUGGUGGGGUAAUGGCCUACCAAGGCGUCGACGGGUAGCCGGCCUGAGAGGGUGUACGGCCACAUUGGGACUGAGAUACGGCCCAGACUCCUACGGAAGGCAGCAGUGGGGAAUAUUGCACAAUGGGCGCAAGCCUGAUGCAGCGACGCCGCGUGGGGGAUGACGGCCUUCGGGUUGUAAACUCCUUUCGCUAGGGACGAAGCGUUUUUGUGACGGUACCUGGAGAAGAAGCACCGGCUAACUACGUG